UACGUAGGGGGCAAGCGUUGUCCGGAAUCAUUGGGCGUAAAGAGCGUGUAGGCGGCCCGGUAAGUCCGCUGUGAAAGUCCAGGGCUCAACCCUGGGAUGCCGGUGGAUACUGUCGGGCUCGAGUCCGGAAGAGGAGUGUGGAAUUCCUGGUGUAGCGGUGAAAUGCGCAGAUAUCAGGAGGAACACCAAUGGCGAAGGCAGCACUCUGGGACGUGACUGACGCUGAGACGCGAAGGCUAGGGGAGCAAACGGG
rnacentral:rRNA from 1 species